rnacentral:rRNA from 1 species
GAGGUUGAUAGGUUCGAGGUGGAAGCGUGGUGACACGUGGAGCUGACGGAUACUAAUCGAUCGAGGACUUAACUAACUU